CCUACGGGUGGCAGCAGUGAGGAAUAUUUGUCAAUGGGCGCGAGCCUGAACCAGCCAAGUCGCGUGAAGGAUGACUGCCCUACGGGUUGUAAACUUCUUUUAUAAAGGAAUAAAGUUAGGCACGUGUACCUUUUUGUAUGUACUUUAUGAAUAAGGCUCGCCUAACUCCGUGCCAGCAGCCGCGGUAAUACGGAGGAUCCGAGCGUUAUCCGGAUUUAUUGGGUUUAAAGGGAGCGUAGAUGGGUUGGUAAGUCAGUUGUGAACGUUUGCGGCUCAACCGUGAAAUUGCAAUUGAUACUGGCAGUCUUGAGUACAGUAGAGGUAGGCGGAAUUCGUGGUGUAGCGGUGAAAUGCGUAGAGAUCACGAAGAACACCGAUUGCGAAGGCAGCUUACUAGACUGCCACUGACAUUGAUGCUCGAAAGCGUGGGUAGCAAACAGGAUUAGAUACCCCUGUAGUC
rnacentral:rRNA from 1 species